rnacentral:rRNA from 1 species
AUUGAACGCUGGCGGCAGGCUUAACACAUGCAAGUCGAACGCAUCCUUCGGGGUGAGUGGCAGACGGGUGAGUAACGCGUGGGAACGUGCCCUUCAGUUCGGGAUAACCCAGGGAAACUUGGGCUAAUACCGGAUACGUGCGAGAGCAGAAAGAUUUAUCGCUGAAGGAUCGGCCCGCGUCUGAUUAGCUAGUUGGUGGGGUAAUGGCCCACCAAGGCGACGAUCAGUAGCUGGUCUGAGAGGAUGAUCAGCCACAUUGGGACUGAGACACGGCCCAAACUCCUACGGGAGGCAGCAGUGGGGAAUAUUAGACAAUGGGCGCAAGCUUGAUCCAGCCAUGCCGCGUGAGUGAUGAAGGCCUUAGGGUUGUAAAGCUCUUUCGUCCGGGACGAUAAUGACGGUACCGGAAGAAGAAGCCCCGGCUAACUUCGUGCCAGCCGCCGCGGUAA